rnacentral:rRNA from 1 species
GAUGAACGCUGGCGGCGUGCCUAAUACAUGCAAGUCGAGCGAACAGACGAGGAGCUUGCUCCUCUGACGUUAGCGGCGGACGGGUGAGUAACACGUGGAUAACCUACCUAUAAGACUGGGAUAACUUCGGGAAACCGGAGCUAAUACCGGAUAAUAUAUUGAACCGCAUGGUUCAAUAGUGAAAGACGGUUUUGCUGUCACUUAUAGAUGGAUCCGCGCCGCAUUAGCUAGUUGGUAAGGUAACGGCUUACCAAGGCAACGAUGCGUAGCCGACCUGAGAGGGGGGGGGGCACAAUGGAACAGAAAACACGCCCAGGCCUCCUCGGGGAGGCACAAGGGGGGAUUCUUCCGAAAGGGGGAAAAGCCUGACGGGGCACCGCGGCGUGAGUGAUAAAGUUUUUCGGAUCGAAAAACUCUUUUAUUGGGGAAAAAAAAUUGUGAAAGUAAUUAUGCACGUCUGGACGGUACUUAAUCAGAAGGCCACGGCAAACUACGUG